GCGUGGCUCAGUUUGGUAGAGCGCUGCGUUCGGGACGCAGAGGCCGUGGGUUCGAAUCCCGUCGCU
rnacentral:tRNA from 1 species